rnacentral:lncRNA from 1 species
AUAUGAGAAGUGCUUGUUUUGUUCUCUCUAUCUCUCUCUCUCUUCAUUUGGCGAAGGUAGGACUUCUUUUGCUUCUACUAGUAUCGAUUUUAGUUCUAAUCCAUGAUCGGUAGAUGUUUCUUCUCAUCUCUGUAUUGGAUGAUCUUUGAGUGUAGUUCGAUGAAUUGAAUGAGGCAUCCUUCCUCUUUCAUUAGGAUGCUUGUCUUCUUAGUUCUUGUAUUAGCGUAGAGUAGAUCGGUGCGUUCUUUGUGUAGAUG